UUUUUCGUGAUUUUAUCACCAUUCCAUUUUCUAUAUUUAGUGAAUUUCAAUUGGUAUGAAAGUUAUUAUAAAAAUGUUUUUUUACUGGUGUUUAUUUUAAAAUUGUGUUUGAAAAAUAUAAUUUUUCAUAACUUUUAAAAAUUUGCUUAACAGUGAUAAAUUUUAUUAGGUUUAGACCAUUUAGGCGUCUCUAUUUUUGUUAGGUAUUCCCAAUUUGGUCCUUUUCUUUUAAAGUUUCCCAAUUGAGUCCUUAUAACUGCUAAUUUCAACCAAUUGAGUCCCUGCCGUCAAAUUUCGUUAACAGAGUUAACUUUCUGCACAGGUGGUGGGCUGACGUGUCUAAAUCGUUUCAACGUGUCACUCUCUUCCUCCCACGCCAUUUUCCUCUUCCUUCUUCCUCCUUCCGUUCUUCUCUCUUCCAACCACUCCCAACCUUCUUAAAGAAAAAUUCAGAUCUACAUAAUUCACUGAACACCACCAACUCCCACCUAAUCAAUUUCUUACUUCUUUCUUCCAACAACGUUUUUCAUUCUAGCAUUGAUACUCCACCAUCAGCCCUGCAUCACCAACGAGAUCUACCCACCAUGACUGCUAUCUACAAAAGCAGAACUUUGACUGUCAUUGCUGAUGUCGCAUGUAUCUUAGGCGGACCAAAUUUGAGUAGUCAGUUAAAAGAAUGAAGCAUGAAUACUGGAAGCAAUUUUGUUUGCCUUUCG
rnacentral:lncRNA from 1 species